GGUUUACCACCGGGAUGUUCAUAACCCUUUGUUGUCCGACUCUGUUGCCUCCGGGGCGACCCUGCCUUCGGGCGGGGGCUCCGGGUGGACACUUCAAACUCUUGCGUAACUUUGCAGUCUGAGUAAACUUAAUUAAUAAAUUAAAACUUUUAACAACGGAUCUCUUGGUUCUGGCAUCGAUGAAGAACGCAGCGAAAUGCGAUAAGUAAUGUGAAUUGCAGAAUUCAGUGAAUCAUCGAAUCUUUGAACGCACAUUGCGCCCCCUGGUAUUCCGGGGGGCAUGCCUGUUCGAGCGUCAUUUCACCACUCAAGCCUCGCUUGGUAUUGGGCAACGCGGUCCGCCGCGUGCCUCAAAUCGACCGGCUGGGUCUUCUGUCCCCUAAGCGUUGUGGAAACUAUUCGCUAAAGGGUGUUCGGGAGGCUACGCCGUAAAACAACCCCAUUUCUAAGGUUGACCUCGGAUCAGGUAGGGAUACCCGCUGAACUUAAGCAUAUCAAUAAGCGGAGGAA
rnacentral:rRNA from 1 species